rnacentral:rRNA from 1 species
GUGGGGAAUUUUGGACAAUGGGCGCAAGCCUGAUCCAGCAAUGCCGCGUGCAGGAAGAAGGCCUUCGGGUUGUAAACUGCUUUUGUACGGAACGAAACGGCUCUGGUUAAUACCCGGGGCUAAUGACGGUACCGUAAGAAUAAGCACCGGCUAACUACGUGCCAGCAGCCGCGGUAAUACGUAGGGUGCGAGCGUUAAUCGGAAUUACUGGGCGUAAAGCGUGCGCAGGCGGUGAUGUAAGACAGUUGUGAAAUCCCCGGGCUCAACCUGGGAACUGCAUCUGUGACUGCAUUGCUGGAGUGCGGCAGAGGGGGAUGGAAUUCCGCGUGUAGCAGUGAAAUGCGUAGAUAUGCGGAGGAACACCGAUGGCGAAGGCAAUCCCCUGGGCCUGCACUGACGCUCAUGCACGAAAGCGUGGGGAGCAAACAGGAUUAGAAACCCCAGUAGUCC